rnacentral:sRNA from 1 species
AAAAUGCGCUGAACUCUCCUGCCGGAGAACGGGGGAACCAUACAUCUGUCAUUGUACCACAUACACUGUGCAGAUGAAUCUUGGGGUGAAUACUUCACAUCAGGGAAGUUAGGGCGGCUCUCUUGCCCGAAUCCGUCAGCUAACCUCGCAAGCGUGAAGAGAGA